CCCCCCCCCCCCCCCCCCCCCCCCCCCCCCCCCCCCCCCCCCCCCCCCCCCCCCCCCCCCCCCUUAUUGAGAUUUUAUUGGGAUUUUAUUGGGAUUUUAUUGAGAUUUUACCGAGAUUUUAUUAGGAUUUGAUCAGGAUUUUAUUGGAAUUUUAUUAGGAUUUUAUUGAGAUUUUAUCGGGAUUUUAUUAGGAUUUUAUUGGGAUUUUAUUGAGAUUUUUUAGGAUUUUAUCGGGAUUUUACUGGGAUUUGAUCAGGAUUUUAUCGGGAUUUGAUCAGGAUCUUCCCGGUGCUGGGGUGACUCGGGCCUGGCUCCGCGUGCCGGUGUUGGCAGUGCCGGUGUGGUUGGUGUUUGUCACCAUCACUGCUGUUGGCGGUGCCGGUGUUGGCGUUGCCAUUUGUUGGCAGUGCCGGUGUUGUUGGUGUUUGUUGCCAUCACUGCUGUUGGUGGUGCCGGUGUUGUUGGUGUUGCCAGUGCUUGUCGGCAUUACCGGUGUUUGUCGGUGGUGCCGGUGUUGGCGUUGCUGGAGUUGACGUUACCGGUGUAUUUUGCCGUUGCCAAUGGUGUUGCCAUUGCCGGUGUGUUUUGCCAUUGCCGGUGUGUUUUGCCAUUGCCGGUGUUGUUGCCGGUGCCCGGAGUUACCGUUGCCAGGGUUGGCAUUACCAGUGUGUUUUGGCGUUCCCGGUGUUGUUGCCAUUACCGGUGUGUUUUGUCGUUCCCGGUGCAUUUUGCCGUUGCCGGUGUUGGUGCCACUGCCGGAGUUACCGUUGCCGGGGUUGGCGUUACCGGUGUUUUCUGGCGUUCCCGGUGUUGUCGGCGUUGCCGGUGCCGCGCCCGGCCGCGCCUGGCACAGGCACCCCCCCCCCCCCCCCCCCCCCCCCCCCCCCCCCCCCCCCCCCCCCCCCCCCCCCCCC
rnacentral:lncRNA from 12 species